rnacentral:misc_RNA from 1 species
AGAAGCUAUAUUAGUGCUCCUAAAACCAUUCAGCUUGCAGGGAUAUAUAAGAAAAUACAAAGAAAGAUCAAAUCAGUUCAUAUUGAAGCACUAUUGAAAAUACUGUUGAUUGAAAACGAAUUCUUUUUACAAUGGCGUACAAGCUAUUAUGAAAUUAAUAAUUUGCGCGUGUCAGACCUUGCAAUUUUUUGUUACACCUUGAACAGUUUGGAGUCACAGCUCUGUUCAACUUUGAGCUUCCAGAACUCGUGAUUUAUGCAGGAGAAAAGAAAGGAACAAGAUGGAUUUACAAUAGGAUUACACAACACUCAUCUUUCUUUUUUUUUUUUUAAAUUUAAUUUUCAGUCAUUUGAUUAAGGUGAAGAUGUGCCAAUACAAAAAGCUUAAAAAUGAAACAUUUGAAAAAACAAGCAAGAAAACAAGUGGACGAGAAGUUGCUAUUCACAAUCGAGCAACAUAGGAAUUUGAUUGUGUAACAUAUCUUACCCAUCGAUAUGGGUUAGAGGUUGAUGACUUCUUCACUAUUUGCAAGUACUUUACCUGAAGUCUUGAAGCAUUAUACAUUGGAAUGGUAAAAGACAUGCUAACUGGUCCAGCUUCCUUAGUGAUAUUUCCAUGUGUCUCUUGUGAAAGUGUCAGCUUUGCACAUAGGACAUGGUCAGAUCCACCAACAAUCUUCUUCAAGCCCCACACAAGUCUCUUACUUGACUCCUUAAAGUCAGCAGUGUUUCCAACUGCGCCAGGCUCCAACUCAAAACUAACCCUGCUAGUAUAUGUUGGCAGUGGCAUCUCUAUAAGUAUAGUAUUUGCAGUGACACUGGAGGAGAAUUCAGCAUGCACUUUAAUAAAAACUUCAGCCUUCUUGGAUCCCACUUCUUCAAUUAAUGCAUUAAUUCGGAAUGGAGGUCUAAACUCUUGAGUCAUUCGGUAGUUCAUGACAGAAAAUUCACCAUCUGGCGCUACCAGAGCCAAAGUCCUGUCAAUGUCAAAACUAUCAAGAUGUACUGAUUCAUGGAAAUUACAAUUGUCCAGAAUCAAUGUCCCUGCUCCAGAUGAACUACCGUAGUAAUUGUUUUGAACUACAUCAUAUACUGUCUUCUACAAAUAAGAGUGAAAAAUCAAAAUGCAAGCAGAGGUGGUAAUUGUUAAAUAAGCAUCCCCUGCAAAAGGCUGUCUUAAACUGUAAGAUGGUGAAAGAUAUGGCUUGACACUUCAAAUAAAGAAUGUGCCUCACUCUCACCAGAAGUGCAAAACCAAGAGCCAGAAGCCAUCGCAAUGUUCCAAGGGUCAAAAAAAAAAAAAUAUACUAUAGAUUAUAGGCAUACCAUGGAUUGACCUUCCACCUCUUCCUAUACUUAGUUCUUCAUUUAAAGCAAGCCGAAUCUCAGGGUUGCCAGUAAGGUAACUCUUCAUUUGGAUCGUGCCAUCAAUCUCAGAAGUAAGUAUGUAUCCACUAGCGCUGAAUGUGACACUUAUUUUCUCGAUUACAUCUACAAAAAUUUCCUCUCUAUUCCUGCCACGAGGUUCAUUGGCUAAAACAGAUUUGGUUACAGCUGUUGCAGGCAUUCUUUUGGCCCCUUGCACAAAGAUGGAAGCAGGACCAAGGCUGGGCAAACAUGCAGCAUCAAUCAUGAUUGGCUCAUUAAAUACAAAGGAUUUCAGAACCUCAGUUGAUGUUGUUUGAACAUAACCAAAAUCAAUCAUUUCAUCCAGCAGCUCAUACACGAGCACAAAAUUUUUGCGCAGUGACUCUUCAUUGAGAACACCAAGGUAAUCUUUGAUUACACGUGCAUUUCUUUGAAGAAAUUCCAGAACAAGUGAAGGUGAGAUAUUAACUCUUGUUGUUGCAACAAAUAGCAACCCAGCAACCUUCACAUGAAAGUAGUUCACACCAUCCACAUUAAAGACAGGUGGAGCGUCCCCUUCUUCAUCCUCUUUCCAAAACUUAACUUUGCGGAAAAAUAUUUCAGCAGUUGCUUUGGGCACUUCACCACGAUAGUCACGGAAGACGAUGCUAUCGCCUCUCUGAGAGAGCACGAACAACUGCGAGAUCAUGGUUUCAAAUCUUCGAUUAUCACUUUCCUUUGUGCUCUCAUUUUAAUUUAGGGGGGUGAGCUUUUAGGUCCUGUAGCGAGGAGAAAAAUCGUAAUUGAAACCUACGCUUUUAAACCCCACGUUGCCAUGUGAGGCAGCACACGUCCUUCUCGACUUUGGCGUGGAACUCGUGACUUGUCCGUUGCCACUUCUUAAGAACCCGGGGAGAAUAUGCUUCCCGUUGAUCAACAGAAGGACGCAACAAAUCACUCAUUACAACGGCAUCGUUUCGGUAAAUUGUUGUUACCAUAAUUUAUAAAACGUCCACGUCUUAGAUAAAAUUGUAAAGUUGUGGUUAAAAGAGAGGCACCGGACUCUACGGCGAUAAGCAAAAAAAAUAUCAACAUGACUAUUAUUUUUAUUAUUCCAUUGGCCUUUUGCUUUGGCACCCUGCUUUGAUCGCGACGACAUAACGGAUCUUGAUCGCUGCGAAAUUUCAUAGAAGUCACCGUUGGGCGUUGACAAACUCUUCACCACAACAGAUCGAACACCAAGCCUCUAACCUUUUUGCUUCACAGAGACCGAUAAUUUAUGCUUCUCUGGCGCCAAAUUGAACAAGGCUUGAUGCUGGAUGAGUUCCAGAGAUGAAAUGGGCCAAUUGAACUAGGUUUGAGGGUAAUUUCGGGAAAAUAAUGGCUUUGUUUGUUGGGAAUUCGAGGAACUUUGAUUUUUUUCCAGAGAAUUUUCAGCUGAAUUUGGGAUGAGUUCUGCUGUGGGUAGCGGAUUGUAAAGUUGGUUUAUUUGUAUAAGGAAGAUCUUCACAAGAUCAAAAGUAAGUUCUUUAUCACCCUCUCUUAUUUUGAAAGGGAGUUUAUGAUUUUUCGUAUUUUGCAAAUUAUUAUGUGUUUUAAGCAUUUAAAUUCUAGGAAUUUCAAUGUUGCCAUUGGGCAUGCAAUGGAAAUCUGAUGUGAUGUCUGCCUUGAGAAUUAAUUCACACUUUUAUAGGUACAAGUCCAUCUUCCCUUAUGGUGCUUUUUGACCGAAACAUAAAUGAUUAGAAAGUCUCCAUACAAUGUCCCUAUGAGAAACUUUGUAAUUGAUCUUAUGCGAUGGGCAGGUCUCUUUUUUAUGCCGACGUUUCUAUAUUCUCUUGCUACAUUACUGUGUAAUGGGUCAAUUUUGGAUUUUGAGGAAUUCCCAGUUUGUGUUUUAUAUCAGUAUGAUCAGUGUGCAAUGCUUUUGAUUUCAACAUCCAGCUUUCAUUUUAAUAACUUGCAGGAAAUGGCGACUCCGGUUGAGCCUCCAAAUGGAGUUAGAAUUCAGGGGAAGCAUUACUAUUCUAUGUGGCAAACUUUGUUUGAGAUUGACACAAAAUAUGUGCCCAUCAAGCCAAUUGGCCGAGGAGCUUAUGGAAUUGUGUGCUCCUCGGUGAAUAGGGAAACCAACGAGAAAGUUGCAAUCAAGAAAAUACACAAUGCUUUUGAUAAUCGUGUUGAUGCGCUGAGAACUUUACGUGAACUGAAGCUUCUUCGGCAUCUUCGGCAUGAAAACGUCAUUCAGUUGAAGGAUGUAAUGAUGCCUAUUCAUAGGAGAAGUUUCAAGGAUGUGUAUCUGGUCUAUGAACUCAUGGAUACAGAUCUGCAUCAAAUUAUUAAGUCUUCUCAAGCACUCACUAAUGAUCACUGCCAAUACUUCCUAUUCCAGGUAUCUAUUUGCUAGCUAAUGAUGAAGCAGUGUUUUCAAGUAGACAAUAGAAAAAAGACAAGGUUAAUGCUCGGCAGUUUCUAUCAUAGCUAGCUUUUGUGGUAAUAGAAACUAGUUGAUGAAAUAUUUUGUGAAAGCGUUUUCUUGGUUUUCAUUAAAAACUUGCGUGGAAAUGUUUUAUGGCUGCUGCAAUGUGAAUUCUUGACUUUUUCCUCUUACUGACCUUUCCUGUUAAAGCAUUACUGUUAUCAGAUGUUCUUUUUGUAACAGUGUGCUUAUUAACAUGAGAACAUUAAUAUGCUUGGUUAGUUGGUUUUUGUAAAAGUAUUACUGUUAACCAGGAUAACAUUGUUAAUAUGCUUUUAUACGAGAUAUUCUUGUCAUAAUAGUGUGUCUAUUAAUAAUGCCUUCCAUACAAUUUGUGAGAACUAUACUUAGCACUCCACCAAGGCAACGACUUGCUUAUAGAUAUUAAGCUAGAUUCUUUUGCUUUGGCACUUAAAAGACAAAGUCUUUCAAGUUAGUUGCAGGAAUGAUACUGAUAGAGAACGGUCUCUGUUUCUGUUGGUUUUUAUGAUUAGUUGUGAUGUUUAAAAAUGAGGGACACUAUGAGAGAUACAAAAUCUGAGAUUGCAUUUGGGGGAACAUGUUCAAGAUGGAUUACCUUUCUACUUUCUAGGAAGCUAUUUGGUUUUCUUUUGAAUUGCACAAUCCAAAUAAUCUAUCUAAAAUUACACUGGAAAACAUGUUAGGGUGGAAUCUAGGUGUGAAUAAUCUUGGGGAUGAGAUUCAGAUAUCAUAUAACACAGCGCGUGCGCGCGGACAUGUGUGUGUAUCCUGAUGUUAUAGAUUCUAUUAAAAAGUUAAUUAGAUUCUCAAAAGUUUGAUCUGAUGGUUACCUCAUCCCUCUUCCAGGGGCACAUGAAGUUCUGCUGUCGUUUUUAUAUUGGUUAACUGUGUCUAUCGUUUGUGCAUUUGCUGGAUUCAGAUGCAAAUUAGUUCAUUGCAUCUUCCAAUUGCACUAAAAUGAAGUUUAUAUGCUAAGUUAUUGUUCUUGUACCUUUUUUUUUAUUUGGAUUUUAAGAGAUUACCAUUCAUGUUGGUUGCAGUUUUUAUUAUUUUAGGAGAUUAUCAAUGCUGUUGCAUUUAAUAGCUCCCCAGGCCUCCAAAUAAUUUCCAGUUUCCAAUGGUCUUGUUGCUCCUAUUAAAAUUGGUGAAAUUGCUUGUGCAUUACCAUAGAUUUCCAUAGUUAGCUUUCAUGCGUUUUGUCCUGUUCAUGCCAAAUGAGCUUAUUUUCUGAAAAUAGAGUCCAUUGAAUAUGGUUAUAUUGCUGCAACAAUGUGUAAACGCCAAAACUUCCCAUUCUAUUAGUCUGUUCUGCCUUUGAACUGUUGGCUUGUCACGCUUCACCACUUCAUAUUGUUACUGUUAUUCUUUUUUGAGACAAGCAUUUAAACACUUAUAUUUAUUGUGCUAUGGAUUUUGAGUAAGAAUUUCUUCAGAUUUUUCUUAAAAAAAACCACACACAUAUAUUUAUUCUCUAGGUGCAUAGGCCUUCUGAGUUUUAACGAAUUCACACUUCUUGGUGCAGUUGCUCCGAGGGCUGAAGUAUCUUCACUCAGCAAGCAUUCUCCACCGUGACUUGAAGCCUGGGAAUCUACUUAUAAAUGCGAACUGUGAUCUAAAAAUUUGUGAUUUUGGGCUUGCACGUGCUAGCAAUGGCAAGGGCCAGUUCAUGACCGAGUAUGUUGUUACUCGCUGGUAUCGAGCUCCAGAACUACUCCUAUGCUGUGAUAACUAUGGGACAUCUAUUGAUGUCUGGUCUGUUGGAUGCAUCUUUGCAGAGCUUCUUGGCCGGAAACCUAUCUUCCCGGGCACAGAGUGUCUCAACCAGCUUAAACUUAUCAUCAACAUCCUUGGCAGCCAGGGGGAGGUGGAUGUUGAAUUUAUUGAUAACCCUAAGGCUAAGAGAUACAUCAAGUCACUUCCAUAUUCCCCUGGUACUCCAUUUUCUCGCCUUUAUCCUAAUGCCCAUCAUUUGGCAAUUGACUUGCUUGGGAAAAUGCUUGUUUUUGACCCAUCAAAGAGAAUAACUGUUACUGAAGCACUCCAACACCCUUACAUGUCCCCACUUUAUGAUCCCAACAGCAAUCCUCCAGCCCAGGUCCCCAUUGAUCUUGACAUAGAUGAGGAUUUAGGGGAGGAGAUGAUACGGGAGACGAUGUGGAGGGAGAUCCUCCAUUACCAUCCUGAAGCAGGUACAGCCAAUGGGCAGAUGUGUGCCUGAUCUUGUUACAUUAGUUUAAGCUAAGGAAGUUUUUGUUGUUGGUAAUAUUUUAGUUCUUUUUUAUCCAUGUUCGGCAUUGUCCCUUUUGUUCCUAAUAAUCUUAACGAAGCAUGCACCAGUCAGAUGUGCCAUUGGCGCAUGAUUUGACUAACUUUUGUUUUAAGGGCUUGUUGAUGAGCUUGAGCUCUGAACUUAUGUUGCCCUUUCAGUUUGUACAUAGUUGUGCCUAAAGUGCCUUUGUGAGAGUAUGAGAAAACUUUUGUUGUAUGUUAGAAUAUAUAAAUCAAUGUAUUGUAGUACUUUCAUGGUAACCACGCUUGUGCGAAGAGAAUAUCUUCGGGUGUUGAACAUUUAGCUUGCAAAUGACACAUGCAAGUAUGUGCUGUGUAGACUUGCUUUAUUUCCAUUUACGUCAGCAGAUGUAUAUGAAUUAUAUGUUGGUUGCUUGGUGCAG